CACCUCUCACCUAUUUUCAAAGGAGAGCAUCCCCAACCCAACCAAUGUAGACGUAGGAGGGAAGAGCUCCCUCUCCAUUCCUGUGAGACUUUGAAGCUUUGCCAUUGAAGUGUCCAACCAAAUCCCUGCAAAACGAGAGGAAGAGUAGUAAAUUCACAAGACCAGGAAAUUCUCUCUGGUACCUAAAGGAGCUCUAGCAGCAAAUAGGUCAGCCUUGAAAAGAUACAUGUUGAAGCUUAUUAGAGAAUCAGGGCAAUUUGGGUUGACUACUCAAUUUCCUUGGAAUGGGUGGUCUCGGCAAUUUGAUGACUUCUUCUAUGCCCUCACUCAUGAUAGCAACUUGUGAAAUU